GGGCCCAUAGCUCAGCGGUAGAGCCCCCGGCUCAUAACCGGUCGGUCACAGGUUCAAAUCCUGUUGGGCCCA
rnacentral:tRNA from 1 species